CCUACGGGAGACAGCAGUGGGGAAUAUUGCACAAUGGGCGAAACCCUGAUCCAGCGACGCCGCGUGAGUGAAGAAGUUAUUCGUUACGUAAAGCUCUAUUUGCAGGGAAGAAAAUGAUGGUACGUGUCUAAGAAGCACUGGCUAAAUACGUGACAGCAGCGGCGGUACUACGUAGGGGGCAGCCGUUAUCCGGAUUUAGUGGGGGUAAAGGGUGUGUAGACGGUGUGGAAAGGAUGGAGUGAAAUGCCGGGGCCUAAACGCGGGACUGCUUUGGAAACUGGUGAACUGGAGUGCAGGAGGGGUAAGCGGAAUUCCUAGUGUAGCGGUGAAAUGCGUAGAUAUUAGGAGGAACACCGGUGGCGAAGGCGGCUUACUGGACUGUAACUGACGUUGAGGCUCGAAAGCGUGGGGAGCAAACAGGAUUAGAUACCCGAGUAGUC
rnacentral:rRNA from 1 species